rnacentral:rRNA from 1 species
UACGAGGGGGGCGAGCGUUGUUCGGAAUUAUUGGGCGUAAAGGGUGCGUAGGCGGCCUGACAAGCCUGAUGUGAAAUCCCUGGGCUCAACCCAGGGCCUGCAUCGGAAACUGUCGGGCUUGAGUAUGGGAGAGGUGAGUGGAAUUUCCGGUGUAGCGGUGAAAUGCGUAGAUAUCGGAAGGAACACCUGUGGCGAAAGCGGCUCACUGGACCAUUACUGACGCUGAGGCACGAAAGCUAGGGGAGCAAACAGG